CUCUAAGGAGACUGCCGGUGACAAACCGGAGGAAGGUCGGGAUGACGUCAAGUCAUCAUGGCCCUUACGGCCUGGGCUACACACGUGCUACAAUGGUCGGUACAGAGGGUUGCCAAGCCGCGAGGUGGAGCUAAUCCCAGAAAACCGAUCGUAGUCCGGAUCGCAGUCUGCAACUCGACUGCGUGAAGUCGGAAUCGCUAGUAAUCGCGAAUCAGAAUGUCGCGGUGAAUACGUUCCCGGGCCUU
rnacentral:rRNA from 1 species